rnacentral:rRNA from 1 species
GACGAACCGUGCGAACGUUGUUCGGAAUCACUGGGCUUAAAGGGCGCGUAGGCGGGUGUGCAAGUCUGUGGUGAAAGCCUCCAGCUUAACUGGAGAAGUGCCGUGGAUACUGCACAUCUUGAGGAGGGUAGGGGCAUCUGGAACGGUCGGUGGAGCGGUGAAAUGCGUUGAUAUCGACCGGAACACCCGUGGCGAAGGCGGCCCCCUGGGCCGUACCUGACGCUGAGGCGCGAAGGCUAGGGGAGCGAACGGG